CCUACGGGUGGCAGCAGUAGGGAAUCUUUCACAAUGGGCGAAAGCCUGAUGGAGCAACGCCGCGUGCAGGAUGAAGGCCUUCGGGUUGUAAACUGCUUUUAUAAGCGAGAAAUAUGAUGGUAACUUAUGAAUCAGGAUCGGCUAACUACGUGCCAGCAGCCGCGGUCAUACGUAGGAUCCGAGCAUUAUCCGGAGUGACUGGGUGUAAAGAGUUGCGUAGGUGGAAUAAUAAGUAGCUAGUGAAAUCUGGUGGCUCAACCAUUCAGACUAUUAGCUAAAAUGUUAAGCUCGAGACCGUUAGGGGUAACUGGAAUUGCUAGUGUAGGAGUGAAAUCCGUAGAUAUUAGAAGGAACACCAAUAGCGUAGGCAGGUUGCUGGGACGGUUCUGACACUAAGGCACGAAAGCGUAGGGAGCAAACGGGAUUAGAUACCCGUGUAGUC
rnacentral:rRNA from 1 species